CAAAUGAAAGAACAUUUAAUAUUUUGUCAGUAAACUAACAAGUGAAAUCUACAGGGUUAUGGCAACAAAAAAGUUUAUUGUUCCAGGUAGACCCAAAGUCUAUAAAUAUAGAUUGGGAACAUUUAAACAAUGGACAGAAGUAGGAGGAGCAGGAGGAUAUCAGUGUGGAAUACUACUAUUAGAAGGAGCAGGAGGAAGUAGAGGAGUAACAGGAGGAAGUAGAGGAGGAAC